UUAUUAUUUAUUUGGAGGUUACAUUCAGACUACUCUGGGAAACAAACAUUUUGCUAGGAUAGAAUUCAGUUUUGAAUUGAGGCAUUUUAUCAGCACAUCCCUGGGCAACAGUACUAAAUUAAAAAAAUAACAGGUGAACAUCGCAGUAAAAUCGACUCCUGGGCCACACGCUUCAGUCUGAGAUGUGGGCUGGGCCACGCCACUUGAUAGACUUAUGUUUGCUUCUCUGUUGGCUAAGAGACUUCACUCACUGAUCUCCCAGGCAUAGGCUCAGAAUAACUCACUCUCUGAUUAGCAUAGUGUCAGAGAGACAGACAGAGGUUUAUGUUGGGACAUUUUGGAGGGAUGCUGAGAGCCUCACUACACACUAGGCAAGCGCUUUCCCACUGAGCUCCAAGCCCAACACUCAUCUGAUUCUUAACCAUGGACGACAAUGCCUUUCAAUGCUGUAUACAAUUCAAGCUACCAUACAAAGGUACUUCUCAUACCAUAAAGAUGUUUCAGGCGGCAGAUUUCUCCCCUUAAGUUCCUCUGACCUGAUUCUGGCAGGACGAUGGAUUCUGGGUCAUCACUUUUUUGGGAAUGCUCCAUGCUCACCAUGCCAGGUGCGGUCUGCGUCCCAGUCAGCUGGGAGUCACAUGUGGAGCUAUUCUGGGGUCUAGGGACCGUCGAUUCUUGCCAAGUAAAACUAUUUGAGAACAUAGUGCAUUUGGGUAACCACCGAGACUCUCUGCUGGCCUUGCCCUCCAUCAAUCCUGCUGCAGCCUUGCUACUGCUGGUGUCUAGGGUCACCCACACAGGAGGGCAUCAUUCACGGUGUGUCUGAGGUUUUCUCAGUUGAAGUGCCCAACCACAGGGGGUCAGCUGUGAAUUUAGAUUGACUUUGGGGCAUCAGAUCGCCAUGGACCAAGGUGGGCGUGCUGCACUGAGUAGAAAACAGACACAGAAAACAACAGCGUCCUUUCAUGUCUGAUGCUUUCAUACAUUUGGGGAAACUUCCUGCCACACUACCCUCAGAUACUGAUCCUCUCCCCUUGUCUCUGGACAAAGAACUUACUGUGCUCAGAGAAGACAAAUGUAGCCACAGCCUGAGCUCGGAUUAGCAAAGUGCUGGGAUGGAUGAGACUGGAGAGGUGGGCGUAGACCCGUAGAGGAUUUACUGUGCCCUGAGCCUCUGUGUGGGGUAGAAGCUUUGCUUCGAGAGGAGCUUACACAUAAAGGAGAACUGUGCGAUCCCUCUAGGAUGAUGUGAAUGGCUUUCUAGGAAACACACCUGAAGAACCUGCUGGCAGCGGAGGUUGCUGGUGCACUCGAGGUAGCUGCACCCAAACUUUGGAACUCAUGACUGUCCCAGUGCUCGUGGGUCUGCCAGGAAGCGGUUUCCCAGCUUGGUUCGGAGGCUGUGGUGUUCUCUGUUUACAGAGUAUCCCGCCUUAUAUGUAGCAAAAAGAAAAUGGAAACACCUUUGAGGGUUAAGUCCACCAGCAAGUAAAGUCAACGGAGGACCUGGAGUUGAGGAAUACUGCCUACUGACCUACUCCCAACUCUUUGCUCAGUGAGCGUUCUUACAUGGCCCAGGACACCCUGCCUAGGAAUAGUGCCACCCCACAAUGGGCUGGGCUCUCCUGGAUCAGUUAGCAAUCAAGAAAAUAUUCCACAGAGCAAGCUGUUGGUGGCAAUUCCCCUACAUUGAACUCUGGGCUAUGUCAAACCGACAGCUAGAAGCAGCAAGGUCUCCUGAAAGCGGUGAACAGGAUGCCUCCAGCACUGGUCACUGAUCAGGCUCCUCCUGGGCACAUUGCCUGGCUUCUUUAUACAAAGGUCUGGUGACAAGUCACUACUUUGGUACAUGAAAACAUUUAUGGAAGAGUCCCCAUUAAUCUCCCCAGUGUGUGACAGUGAGAUAAUAAACCUCAGGACCUUGAGCUCAUGUUGGUUCGCCCACUCCUUUCAGUUAGGGCGUCUGCAUGCUGCAAUCUCACAGAGGCAGGCAGACUCAGGGAGCGAAACUUUCACUCGGAACUGACUGGCAACCUCUUAUUUAUUUAUCUGCUUUCUCUCCUUAAUGUUCUUUCCAAACUUAGAUAUUUUUCACAGGACUUGGUCUGAUUUUUUUUUUUCCAAUUUUACAGCAUAAACCAUCUGCGGCCAUUUUGCGGAGUCUCUUUAGGUCAUGGGAAGGUUCUGUGUUUCCUGUGUACAUAGCACACAGGCAGGCCCCACUCACCACCGCUGCUGCUCUGAGAAGGUCAUUCCCUUUGUCUAGAAUGAGCACACAUGUAAAUACAAUGCAGAUGUGUUUCCCAUCUGUCACCAUGGGAAACGUAGAAUACGUUUACACUGAAGUAACUCGGAGAGACCCCUGGAGUUUUAACGUUUUUGUCAACAGGUUGUAGAAUCGUUGUGAGAAAAUAGAAAUUGUCAAGGGCCUUAGAUGACUUCAAAAGACGAAUUGAAAAUAUGCAGAACAUGGGCCUGGAGAGAGGCCUCGCUGGUGAAAAAUACUGCCUGCAUUUGCAGAGGACCAGGUUUAAUUCCCGUUACUCGUGAUAAUCCCGAUAAUCUUCCUGCCCCAGCCCCCAGAGUGGCGGAAUUACGAGCGCGUGCCAAGCACUUGAUUCUUCAAAGCGUGAAUCUUACACAGUGUCAUCUUAACCCUUGCCGCUUAUUUGAUUCUUUCUCUGCGGUCGGACUUUUGCCUUACUUCUGCUUUUGGGU